GCCGCCGUGGCGCAAUGGCUAGCGCGUUGCCUUCCUACUUUGCGUAUCAGGCAAAGGCUGUGGGUUCGAAUCCCAUCUGCGGUA
rfam:Plicaturopsis crispa FD-325 SS-3 unplaced genomic scaffold PLICRscaffold_4, whole genome shotgun sequence.